UACGUAGGGUGCAAGCGUUGUCCGGAAUUAUUGGGCGUAAAGAGCUCGUAGGCGGUCUGUCGCGUCGGCUGUGAAAACCCGGAGCUCAACUCCGGGCCUGCAUUCGAUACGGGCAAACUGGAGUGUUGCAGGGGAGACUGGAAUUCCUGGUGUAGCGGUGAAAUGCGCAGAUAUCAGGAGGAACACCGGUGGCGAAGGCGGGUCUCUGGGCAACAACUGACGCUGAGGAGCGAAAGCGUGGGGAGCGAACAGG
rnacentral:rRNA from 1 species